rnacentral:rRNA from 1 species
UACGUAGGGUGCAGGCGUUAAUCGGAAUUACUGGGCGUAAAGCGUGCGCAGGCGGUCUUUUUAAGUCAGAUGUGAAAUCCCCGGGCUUAACCUGGGAACUGCGUUUGAAACUGGAAGGCUAGAGUGUGGCAGAGGGGGGUGGAAUUCCACGUGUAGCAGUGAAAUGCGUAGAGAUGUGGAGGAACACCGAUGGCGAAGGCAGCCCCCUGGGCUAACACUGACGCUCAUGCACGAAAGCGUGGGGAGCAAACAGG